UACGUAGGGCGCAAGCGUUGUCCGGAAUUAUUGGGCGUAAAGAGCUCGUAGGCGGCUUGUCACGUCGGGUGUGAAAGACCGGGGCUUAACCCCGGUUCUGCAUUCGAUACGGGCUGGCUAGAGUGUGGUAGGGGAGAUCGGAAUUCCUGGUGUAGCGGUGAAAUGCGUAGAUAUUGGGAGGAACACCAGUGGCGAAGGCGGCUCACUGGACCGGAACUGACGCUGAGGCGCGAAAGCGUGGGGAGCAAACGGGG
rnacentral:rRNA from 1 species